GUUAGCUACUCCGGUGCGCUGUGAGACAAGCAUCUAGCAACAUUGUUGUGGAUGCUGCGUUUCCAGCCUGGCAACCAACGUGAACUUCGAGUCUGGAGAGGAGGGGGCGGGGGAGAGGACUCUCUUCAGUAUUUUGGAUUUGUAAUGCAGUAACUAUUUUAAACAAUAGCUGUCAGUAUUACAUAUUCCACAUAUAAAGUGUAAUUUGGACAGCUCU